AUUGAACGCUGGCGGCAGGCCUAACACAUGCAAGUCGAGCGGAGCGGCGGACGGGUGAGUAAUGCCUAGGAAUCUGCAUGGUAGUGGGGGAAAACGGCCGGCAACGGGCGAUAAUACCGCAUACUAUCAGAUGAGACUAGGGCGGUUUAGCUAGUUGGUGGGGUAAUGGCCUACCAAGGCGACGAGCCGUACCGGGUCUGAGAGGAUGAUCAGCCACACGUGAACUGAGACAGGGUCCAGACUCCUACGGGAGGCAGCAGUGGGAAAUAUUGGACAAUGGGCGAAAGCCUGAUGCAGCCAGGCCGCGUGUGUGAAGAAGGUCUUCGGAUUGUAAAGCACUUUAAGUUGGGAGGCGUUACCAACAGAAUAAGCACCGGCUAACUUCGUGCCAGCAGCCGCGGUAAUAC
rnacentral:rRNA from 1 species